rnacentral:rRNA from 1 species
AGUAGCGAAGGUCAUGAGUUCAGGCUGCCAAGAAAAGCCUCUAGCCAGGUGAAGGUGCCCGUACCGCAAACCGACACUGGUAGUCGAGCAGAGUAUGCUAAGGCGCUCGGAAGAACUCUCGUUAAGGAACUCGGCAAAAUGACCCCGUAACUUCGGGAGAAGGGGUGCCUCGGUAGGGUGAAUAGCCCGAGGGGGCCGCAGUGAAAAGGCCCAAGCGACUGUUUAGCAAAAACACAGGUCUGUGCGAAGCCGUAAGGCGAAGUAUACGGGCUGACGCCUGCCCGGUGCUGGAAGGUUAAGGGGAGUGGUUAGCCGCAAGGCGAAGCUAUGAACCGAAGCCCCAGUAAACGGCGGCCGUAACGAUAACGGUCCUAAGGUAGCGAAAUUCCUUGUCAGGUAAAUUCUGACCCGCACGAAUGGCGUAACGACUUGGGCGCUGUCUCAACGAGAGAUCCGGUGAAAUUUUAAUACCUGUGAAGAUGCAGGUUACCCGCGACAAGACGAAAGACCCCAUGGAGCUUUACUGCAGCUUGAUAUUGGACUUUGGUACGAUCUGUACAGGAUAGGUGGGAGCCUUGGAAACCGGAGCGCCAGCUUCGGUGGAGGCAUCGUUGGGAUACCACCCUGAUCGUAUCGGAGUUCUAACCUGGUACCGUAAUCCGGUACAGGGACCGUGUCAGGUGGGCAGUUUGACUGGGGCGGUCGCCUCCUAAAAUGUAACGGAGGCGCCCAAAGGUUCCCUCAGAAUGGUUGGAAAUCAUUCGUAGCGUGUAAAGGCAUAAGGGAGCUUGACUGCGAGACCUACAAGUCGAGCAGGGACGAAAGUCGGGCUUAGUGAUCCGGUGGUACCGAAUGGAAGGGCCAUCGCUCAACGGAUAAAAGCUACCCUGGGGAUAACAGGCUUAUCUCCCCCAAGAGUCCACAUCGACGGGGAGGUUUGGCACCUCGAUGUCGGCUCAUCGCAUCCUGGGGCUGAAGUAGGUCCCAAGGGUUGGGCUGUUCGCCCAUUAAAGCGGUACGCGAGCUGGGUUCAGAACGUCGUGAGACAGUUCGGUCCCUAUCUGUCGUGGGCGUAGGAAAUUUGCGAGGAGCUGUCCUUAGUACGAGAGGACCGGGAUGGACGCACCGCUGGUGUACCAGUUGUUCCGCCAGGAGCAUCGCUGGGUAGCCAAGUGCGGACGGGAUAAGCGCUGAAAGCAUCUAAGCGUGAAGCCCCCCUCAAGAUGAGAUUUCCCAGUAUGUAAGACCCCUUGAAGACGACGAGGUUGAUAGGUUCGAGGUGGAAGCGCAGCAAUGUGUGGAGCUGACGAAUACUAAUCGGUCGAGGGCUUAUCCAA